UACGAAGGGGGCUAGCGUUGCUCGGAAUCACUGGGCGUAAAGCGCACGUAGGUGGAUUGUUAAGUCAGGGGUGAAAUCCUGGAGCUCAAUUCCAGAACUGCCUUUGAUACUGGCGAUCUUGAGUCCGGGAGAGGUGAGUGGAACUGCGAGUGUAGAGGUGAAAUUCGUAGAUAUUCGCAAGAACACCAGUGGCGAAGGCGGCUCACUGGCCCGGUACUGACGCUGAGGCGCGAAAGCGUGGGGAGCAAACAGGG
rnacentral:rRNA from 1 species